rnacentral:rRNA from 1 species
GACGAACGCUGGCGGCGUGCUUGACACAUGCAAGUCGAACGGGCCUGUCUUCUUUUUUGGGGGUGGGUUGAGUGGCGAACGGGUGAGUAUCACGUGAGUAACCUGCCCUUCGGUCCUGGAUAACCGCUUGAAAGGGCGGCUAAUACGGGGUGGUCCGGUUGGUCCGCAUGGGCUGGUCGGGAUAGAUUCACUGUUUUUGGUGUUUCGGCGGGGGAUGGGCUCGCGGCCUAUCAGCUUGUUGGUGGGGUGAUGGCCUACCAAGGCGGUGACGGGUAGCCGGCCUGAGAGGGUGGGCGGCCACACUGGGACUGAGAUACGGCCCAGACUCCUGCGGGAGGCAGCAGUGGGGGGUAUUGCACAAUGGGCGGAAGCCUGAUGCAGCGACGUCGCGUGAGGGAUGGAGGCCUUCGGGUUGUGAACCUCUGUUUCCGGUGGUGAAGGCCCUGUCCGUGUGGUGGGGUUGACGGUAGCCGGGGAUGAAGCGCCGGCUAACUACGUG